rnacentral:rRNA from 1 species
GCAAACAGGAUUAGAUACCCCUGGUAGUCCCACGCUGUAAACGAUGAUCACUCGUUGUUGGCGAUAUACUGUCAGCGACUGAGCGAAAGCAUUAAGUGAUCCACCUGGGGAGUACGAUCCGCAAGGUUGAAACUCAAAGGAAUUGACGGGGGCCCGCACAAGCGGUGGAGCAUGUGGUUUAAUUCGAUGAUACGCGAGGAACCUUACCUGGGCUUAAAUGGAGAACGACCGUUCGGGAAACCGGACUUCUCUUCGGAGCGAUCUUCAAGGUGCUGCAUGGUUGUCGUCAGCUCGUGCCGUGAGGUGUCGGGUUAAGUCCCAUAACGAGCGCAACCCCUAUCCUUAGUUGCCAGCACGUAAUGGUGGGGACUCUAGGGAAACUGCCUACGCAAGUAGUGAGGAAGGUGGGGAUGACGUCAAAUCAGCACGGCCCUUAUGUCCAGGGCUACCACACGUGC